UACGUAGGGUCCGAGCGUUGUCCGGAAUUAUUGGGCGUAAAGGGCUCGUAGGCGGUUUGUCGCGUCGGGAGUGAAAACUCAGGGCUCAACCCUGAGCGUGCUUCCGAUACGGGCAGACUAGAGGUAUGCAGGGGAGAACCGAAUUCCUGGUGUAGCGGUGGGAUGCGCAGAUAUCAGGAGGAACACCGGUGGCGAAGGCGGUUCUCUGGGCAUUACCUGACGCUGAGGAGCGAAAGCAUGGGGAGCGAACAGG
rnacentral:rRNA from 1 species